rnacentral:tRNA from 1 species
AUCUUUAUAAUAUAUAAAAUAUAUAAUAUUUUCAAUAUUAAAAUGAAAAAAUUUCUAAAGAUA